rnacentral:misc_RNA from 1 species
AUGAAUUUUAUGGCAGAGUUGUAGCUGGUCCUAAUCGGACAUGUGCACACUUUGUUCAUUCCAAUUCUCAUACACCUCUGUGCACUUUUCAUAGGUUUAAUGUGGAAAAGGUCUCUGGCCUUGGAAAUAUUAGCCUAUGUAUUUACAAACGCUUUAGUUUUAGAAUGUCAAUCGCGUAUAACGCAAUAAAUA